CCUAUGAUCUCAGUCAGUUGAGUGUGGCGCUAACAACGCCAAGGUCGCAGGUUCAAAUCCUGUUUGG
rnacentral:tRNA from 1 species